UACAGAAUCCCAGAGUAUUCUAGGUUGGAAGGGACCUUACAGAUCAUCCAACUCCAACCCCCUGGCAUAGGCAGGGAUGCCACCCACCAGACCAGGCUGGCCAAAGCCCCAUCCAGCCUGGUCUUGAACACCUCCAGGGAUGGGGCAUCCACAGCUCUUCUGGGCAG